UACGUAGGGGGCAAGCGUUGUCCGGAAUCAUUGGGCGUAAAGAGCGUGUAGGCGGUUCGGUAAGUCCGCUGUAAAAGUCCAGGGCUCAACCCUGGAAAGCCGGUGGAAACUGUCGAACUAGAGUCCGGAAGAGGCGAGUGGAAUUCCUGGUGUAGCGGUGAAAUGCGCAGAUAUCAGGAGGAACACCAAUGGCGAAGGCAGCUCGCUGGGACGGUACUGACGCUGAGGCGCGAAGCGUGGGGAGCAAACAGG
rnacentral:rRNA from 1 species